rnacentral:rRNA from 1 species
GUGAUCUACCCUUGGCCAGGUUGAAGGUUGGGUAACACCAACUGGAGGACCGGAUGGGUAAGCGUUGAAAAGCUUUCCAAUGAGCUGAGGGUAGGGGUGAAAGGCUAAUCAAACUCGGAGAUAGCUCGUACUCCCCGAAAUGCAUUUAGGUGCAGCCUCUUUAUAGUAUAUCGUGAGGUAGAGCGACUGAUUGGAUGCGAGGGCUUCACCGCCUAUCAAGUCCAGAUAAACUCCGAAUGCGCGAUAUAUAUUUACAGGGAGUGAGGGCGCGGGUGCUAAGGUCCGUGUCCGAGAGGAGAAGAAUCCAGACCACCGGCUAAGGCCCCCAAAUGAUCGUUAAGUUGAACUAACGAGGUCGGAUCGCAGAGACAGCUAGGAUGUUGGCUUGGAAGCAGCCAUUCAUUUAAAGAGUGCGUAACAGCUCACUAGUCGAGCGAUCUGGCGUGGAUAAUAAUCGGGCAUAAACGAUCUGCCGAAGCCGUGGAUGUCGCAAGACAUGGUAGGGGAGCAUUCCAUGCGGCGUCGAAGAUGAGGGAUGACCCUUGUUGGAGCGCAUGGAAAAGCAAAUGUAGGUAUGAGUAACGAUAAGGGGGGCGAGAAACCCCCCCGCCGAAAGACCAAGGUUUCCUGAUCAACGCUAAUCGGAUCAGGGUGAGUCGGGACCUAAGGCAAAGCCGAACGGCGCCGCCGAUGGAAGAAUGGGUUAAUAUUCCCAUACUGCCUCAUGGAGUGACGUGGAGACGGAGAAGUGACAGUCCUGCCGGCUGACGGAAUAGCCGGUUGAAGGGUGUAGAUAUUGAUUCCCGUAGGCAAAUCCGCGGGGAGAGUCGAACCUGAGAGUAUACGGAGCGCUUGCGCGACGUAAUAUGGACGUAACCAUGCUCCCGAGAAAAUCCGCUAAACUUAUCCAUGCGGCACCCGUACCGUAAACGGACACACGUGGUCGGGUUGAGAAUACUGAGGCGCUCGAGUGAUUCACGGUUAAGGAACUAGGCAAAUUGACCCUGUAACUUCGGGAUAAAGGGUCCUCGUCGUAAGGCGAGGCGCAGAGAAUAGGUCCAGGCAACUGUUUAACAAAAACACAUGGCUGUGCUAAAUGGAAACAUGACGUAUACAGCCUGACACCUGCCCGGUGCCGGAAGGUUAAGAGGAGAUGUCAUCCGCGAGGAGAAGCGUUGAAU